AAUAGAUGACGCCGUUGAUUUUUUCUCACAUGUUUGACCAUUCGUCUUAUUCAAAAAUUUUACGUAAUUAUAAUUUAUUUUAUUAUGAGUUGUUUUAUCACUCAUAGUACUUUAAGUGUGAUUUAUAUCUUAUACAAUUGCAUAAAGUUUUUGAAUAAGACGAAUAUUCAAACAUGUGAGAAAAAGUCAACGGCGUCAUCUAUU
rnacentral:pre_miRNA from 1 species